UGGGGAAUAUUGCACAAUGGGCGCAAGCCUGAUGCAGCCAUGCCGCGUGUAUGAAGAAGGCCUUCGGGUUGUAAAGUACUUUCAGUCGGGAGGAAGGUGUCAAGGUUAAUAACCUUGGCAAUUGACGUUACCGACAGAAGAAGCACCGGCUAACCCCGUGCCAGCAGCCGCGGUAAUACGGAGGGUGCAAGCGUUAAUCGGAAUUACUGGGCGUAAAGCGCACGCAGGCGGUCUGUCAAGUCGGAUGUGAAAUCCCCGGGCUCAACCUGGGAACUGCAUUCGAAACUGGCAGGCUAGAGUCUUGUAGAGGGGGGUAGAAUUCCAGGUGUAGCGGUGAAAUGCGUAGAGAUCUGGAGGAAUACCGGUGGCGAAGGCGGCCCCCUGGACAAAGACUGACGCUCAGGUGCGAAAGCGUGGGGAGCAAACAGG
rnacentral:rRNA from 1 species